ACCCAUAACCAUGUGUGUGAGGUGGAUACUGUUGUUAAACCCAUAACCAUGUGUGUGAGGUGGAUACUGUUGUUAAACCCAUAACCAUGUGUGUGAGGUAGAUACUGUUGUUAAACCCAUAACCAUGUGUGUGAGGUGGAUACUGUUGUUAAACCCAUAACCAUGUGUGUGAGGUAGAUACUGUUGUUAAACCCAUAACCAUGUGUGUGAGGUAGAUACUGUUGUUAAACCCAUAACCAUGUGUGUGAGGUGGAUACUGUUGUUAAACCCAUAACCAUGUGUGUGAGGUGGAUACUGUUGUUAAACCCAUAACCAUGUGUGUGAGGUGGAUACUGUUGUUAAACCCAUAACCAUGUGUGUGAGGUGGAUACUGUUGUUAAACCCAUAACCAUGUGUGUGAGGUGGAUACUGUUGUUAAACCCAUAACCAUGUGUGUGAGGUGGAUACUGUUGUUAAACCCAUAACCAUGUGUGUGAGGUGGAUACUGUUGUUAAACCCAUAACCAUGUGUGUGAGGUGGAUACUGUUGUUAAACCCAUAACCAUGUGUGUGAGGUGGAUACUGUUGUUAAACCCAUAACCAUGUGUGUGAGGUGGAUACUGUUGUUAAACCCAUAACCAUGUGUGUGAGGUGGAUACUGUUGUUAAACCCAUAACCAUGUGUGUGAGGUGGAUAAUGUUGUUAAACCCAUAACCAUGUGUGUGAGGUAGAUACUGUUGUUAAACCCAUAACCAUGUGUGUGAGGUGGAUACUGUUGUUAAACCCAUAACCAUGUGUGUGAGGUGGAUACUGUUGUUACAAAGUAGAUUAGUUUAAGACGACCAAGAAACAGUCUGUGUGGCCCUG